rnacentral:lncRNA from 1 species
GCUUAACUGGCAGUAAAUAUCCAGAGGUCAUAGCUUUUAGCAUAACUUUGAAAAUAAAUGAAAAAAGUAACUGAAUAAAAUCAUUAUUAAUGAUGGAAAAGAAACACAGAAGAUCAGCCUCAUAAUAUUUUAAAGUCAUGUGGUGAGCAGUUUGCUUGACCAUACUCUGUCCAUGCUGUACUACCUCUCCACAGGCUGAGGAAAAGCUGGGCCAAUUGAACAAGGACCAAAGCCUCCUAAACUGGCUGCAAAGAUGAUGAUCAAACAACUAAUCUAAUGAAGAAGAGGCCAACACUCUGGAGAAGAGAUAAGCCUGCCUGGAAGAGUUGACUACUCCAAGGAAAAACAGAGAUUCUCUUCACUUUUCCAGUGGGCAUCAAUUUUCAUCAAGGAGCCUGAGAGAGGGCCUCUUUCUAUUGUUCACUUCUGCUCUAUCCUCUGGAGAUCAAGACAAUGGCCUUAUGAUCCCCUGUGCCUCUGUAGUGUGGAACCAGGUACUGGGCACAGCCAGGAGGCCAGAGGAGGUGUGGAGGGGUGCAGGCUCGGCUAAGCUGUUUGCUGGGAGGAGGACACAGGCUGGACAGAGUGGAGCUCCAUGCCGCUGAGGUCCUCACUAUCUGCUGGCUGGUCCCAUGUGUAUUUACUUGUUACAAAUUUCUUUGGAUAAUUCAUGCUCCCUUAGGGUACUCAGUGAAAACUGAAAGUACUUUUAUUUUACAAUACUGUGCCUGUUUCAAAUACUAUACACUUUGUUUAUAGUGAUGAUUUCAAAAUGUGUACAUAUAUCUGAAAUAUAACUUGCACAUCUGAAAUAUAUACAAUAUUUACUUGUCAAUUAUAUCUCAAUACAGUUGUAAAAUAAUUUCAUAUUAUAUCCUUACUCUUCUUUUAACAAUUCCUGAUUUUUUCCAGAAAGACACAUUCUUUCUUCUUAGAAAAUAUAUAGCAUUCAGUAAUCUGUGUCUAGAUUUUCUUUUGUAGAUAAACCAGGAUAUCCCCCAAAUUUAAAUGAAAUUAAAACAACACUAAUUUUAGCAUGUAAAAAUUUAUAUUUAAAUAAAAAUUGUAUUUUCUCUGUAUUUAAUCUCAAAGACAUUUCAUAAAAACAGUGAUAGUUCUGACUUCUUCUUUUAACUGUAGCUAUUUAGCAAUUUUAAAACCUUUGCAGCUCUAUUAAAUGUUGUGCCUGAGGUAUAGCUUUUCAUCAGUUUGGUAAUGAUUCUUAUACUUUCAAGUCUUCAUUUUAUGCUACUUUAUCUAUGUUUAUAUUUUUAAGACAAAGUGGAUCAAUGUUUUCAUUAUAUUGCAAUAUGAAUUUAACACAAGACCUCUGCUUAUCUAAUGCUCUUGAAAAUUAAUUUAAGUCAAGGGCUGAAACUCAGACUGGUGGCACAGAUUUGAAUUUCCAAAUAUUUCUUCCAAAUUGAUGGAGAGAAAGUAUGGCCACAGAGUGAGAAUGGGGGUGAAGUUAAAGCAAAUGAGGAUAUGCUGUCAUAUCUGAAUGAUAAUAUGAAAUUUACUAUAAUAUACUCUUUCUGAGGAGGUGAUUAUUUUUUGACAUUUACACAUUACUAGAGCAAGAAGUUUUAGCUCUGUGGCGCCUAGGCAAAUAAAGGUAUUGACAGUUUUUAUCUCUCAAGAAGAUUCUGUUCCCCAACAGUGAUUACUUUCAAAGUCUCCUCUUCUACUAACCAGAAUGAAAGCCUCACAUUGGAAGUAAUUAGUAGCCAUCACUAGAUCUGAUUAUAAAUAUAAAAAUUCUCUCUUCCUUCCAGGCACAUGUGGACUUGAUACUAGUUCUGACCAUCUUCCAGGCAUAUGUAAAAAAGCUACUGUCCAAGCUCCUUAGAAAUUAAAUGUGACUUUGUAAUUCCUUGUAAAUGAAAUGUGUAUGGAAGUAAUAUAUAUCACUUGCAAAAUGCUUUAAGAUCCAGUAAGAAAAUUAUCACACUUGUGAUAUCACCUGUGAAGCUGAUAGUGAAGUAUGUAUCUGCAUAGAAACUCCCUGCAAACCUGUUUUGGACACAGCAACUUAAAUAAGUCUGCACUUCCUUAUACAGCAGUAUUAAAUAACACAUCCAAAAAGAAAUAUAAUGAUAAUUCAGAUAGUGUCAUGCUUCCUUUUCUUAGUUCUGGGUAUAAUACCUUGGAAAUGAUGUUUCAUGGCCUUUAAUGCUCUUGCAGGACCUGUGAACAGAAAUAUUGCUUUCUGUUUGUUCUGGACUAUGUUUUCAAGGUUGUAUGUAUGGCACACAAACCUGGAAGAAAUAGUAUUUUCCAUCCAGUGAAAGGACGAAUUUUCUAAGCAGCCGAAUGCAAAACAUUCAAAGUCUCUGUACUUGGAGUACAAUCAGUUGUGGAGCAAAACCACUGUAUUGUGCAAUUUUAACUGGGCUCUCUUGUGUGUCCAUGGCACUUGGGGAAUAAAGGAAAUAAAUAUCAACAUGACACUCAGGCACUUUGUGGUGCUAUAAAGAAUAUAGUUAUUGUCUGCUACCCAUAAAUCCCGUAUUUUUUGUUAGCACCCAUGGCUAAUCUGUUAGUUUAAAAGUAGUCUGUAGUAUCAAUUUUCUCAAAGCUUCAUACAUAGUAUCAGCACACUUUCAAAAAGUAAUAUAUUAAAAUUUAAAUAUUCAUAAUGUUAAAAGAAUAAAGACAUAACAAAUUUGAAGUGGAGAGUACUUUCUCUGUCUAUUAGUUGUGACAUAUCAAUUUGACUUGACUAAAAGUCACCUAGCGGGUUAGUAAAGCACAUUUCUGGGUGUCUGUUCAAAAUUUAGUUCAGCGAAUGGAGGGAAGACAACACCUCCUAUAUGUGGGUGAUUGGAAUGAAAAAGGAAAAAAGAAGGAAAUGUCCCCAUUGUGGAAGAGUUCUAGUCUUGCCAUUCAUGGGUUUCCAGUUUCUUCAGCCUUCCAACACAGACUUGCACUGGUGACAUUAAUGUGAGCUUCCAGGCCUUGAACUUUGAAAUGGUGCUGCAUCCUUAGUCCUUCUUUUUCUGCAAUUUUCAUUUUUUGACCUGAGCAGCAACUGAAUCAUCUGGAAUUUCAGUGCACAGGUUGCCAUUGUCGGCUCUUCUGACCUAAUAAAUCCCAUUGCAUAAUUAUUGAUUUUGUUCCCCAAAGAAUCCUAAUACACUUCCAUACACACAAGUUCUGGCUGGACACAGUGGUCUGGUGGCGCACGCCAGUUAUCCCCACACAUAGGGAUUUGAGGAAGGAGAACGGCUGUGAGUUUUAGUCCAGCCUGGCUACAUGACGAUUUCAAGGCCACCCUGAACUACAUACCGUGACUGCUUCAAAACACCACACACACACACAAACACAAUGGCAAAAAGAGAAACAAGUUGGAAUGGUGCUCUUCAUUGAACUUAGAAGUUUUCAAGUAUGCAGAAGAGUGAAUUGCAUAUAAUAGUGUUCAAUGAAUACUUGAGAUACAUUUAAAUGACUUGACUGUGUGAAACACAUAAAUGUAGUCUUAUUUUACAAUCCAUGCAUAUGAUUCUUGCUUUGAAUUACUAGGAAUGACUCCAGUUCACAGUGCUUUACUCCAUGGGCCAUACUGAAGCUCUUGUUUGGCUUGAAGUAAAAAUGAUAAAAGAGAAGUACACAAAACACACUUCUGUCAAUCUUAUUGCAUGACUUAUUUAUCCCUAAAUUUUGAUAUUUAGUAGACAGCACAUUGAUCAAUUUAUAAUUUAAAUUAUUAAGUUUAUCAAAACAUACAGAAAAGUAUCAGAGAGAAAAAAUGGCUUCAAACAAAUAUGCAGAAAUUUAAUUGGUAUGACCUGCAAUAAAAUGUUAAUAAGGUUGGUUGCAAGAGUAUAUGAAACUUCUCUAACAUUUUGAAAAUAUUUAUAUUAUCAACUUGUUUUUCAUAUGAAACCUGUGAAUUAUGACCAAAAUUUUAGUACCGAUUUGUACAUGCAGAGAUAAAGGCUCAGUUUUAAAAUUUUUUAAGUUUUCAAUAGGGCCUCUUCAAUCCCAGUACACCAUUCUUUCUACUAACAUGAACUCCUUGCAUAUCUGUGAAAUUUGUCACAUGUAUCUUUUAUAGUUGUACCACUAUCAUCUAUGAGUUAAUAAAAUCAUUUCAAAUGAAAAUGAGCAAUAAUUUUUGAAGAACUGUAUCUUGUUUUCUUACAAACAGCAAUAAAAUAAAUUGAAAACAAAAUGCUGUCAAAGAUAAACAUGAACAAUGUGCAAAAUCCUGAGACUUAACUACCUAAUGUGUAAUAAAUGAAUAAUUUGGCAUUAGGGGUGGUGGGAUACCCAGGGAUAUGUAGCAUUACACAAUGAGCCCAAGAUUAUUACUCAAACGAAAAAUAACUAUUCAAACUGCUCACAUUUGGGAGGCAAUUAUAAUAAACAGUUAAAUCGGUUACAAAAACAUUUUGAAAUUUAAUAGAAUUUGAAUUAUAAAACUAUUUAAUAUUCAUCAAGAUAGAAGUAUUCUAUCAAAGAACAAAUGUGAUACAUAACAUUUACAAUACACUGUUUGAAGUGCACUAAAUAAUCUUUUUAUUUCCAAACCGAACAUGGUGUCUUCUUCAAAAUUGAAUGUUAGGAAAUGCUAAUGCAAUAUGAAGUGUGGAUUCUGAAUUAAUUCUCAACACAAUACACAUAAGCCACUACAUGCAUUAAUGGUUUUCAGUUCGGUGACAUAACAGAAUUCUCAGAAUUUGUAUCUAAUUUAUUUUGAAACUUUACCCAUAAAUGACUUUGUUUACAGAGAACUAAACACACAUAAUCUAAUGCCAAGAUUGAGAUUCUAGGAAGAAUUUUUACUAACCGAUAUAGUGUUUUUCUGUGGUUAUUUGACAUGAUGAAAGAAAUCCAGUCAUGGCAUGUAGAUAAAGCUAGUAGCUAUUUUUAUUUUAUUUCAAAGGUUAAAAUAUUUCAAAGAUAAUUUAUGUGAAUUAGCAAAUGUUCUGAGGCGUAGCUACCUGUGGAGUGACUGAGGUGUUACCAAAGACAUUUUCAGUUGUGUCUUGGAUUUAACAUUUUCUGUGUGCACUUUCUUGUAGGAGGCAUCUUUGACCCUAUUUGCUUGUCAUUUUUAGAGGCUAUUCAUAUAAUUUUGAGUUAAGAUGAAAGUCAAUACAUGUAAUAGUUUUCUUGGUCUUUGGAAUUUUAAAAUGCAGUGGAAUGGGGAUUGUGGAAUUGCUGAACUUAUUAAGGCUAAAUUGAAUGGUUAGUCUGAAAGUAUCAUUAUUCCAAAUCAUCAUAACUAAAUUUUUAAUUGUUUUCAGCCAAAUUACAGCCCUUUCCUCCCUCUUUCCUUCCUUCCUUCCUUCCUUCCUUCCUUCCUUCCUUCCUUCUUUCCCUCCUUUCUCUGUUUGCCUGUUCAUUGCAAGUUAAAGCAAUAUAUAUACUAUAUAUAUAUUCAUUGCAAGUUAAAGCAAUAUAUAUUAUUAAUGUUUUUUCUCAUUAAUAUCAAUAUAAAUUCUGAAGCCUUUUCAUUACAUGAUUACUAGUAUAUUUCAGAGAUUUUUAUCUUGAGAUUUAGGAUAAUAAUGGGCCCAUAACACCAAAGAGAUAUGAAAUUCUAUUUUUGGUCUUAUCUGGAAAUGUUGAAAACUGUGAUUAUAUUUGAAGAAAUCUUUCUAAACAAAUAAUUUUAGUCUUACACAUUUUCUCAAUUGUGCAAAUAUUAUAAAAAAUCAUGGCAAAUAAUCAUGGAAAACUGGUAACUGAUUCCAUUGGCUUUGCAUUUUUUUCAGCCACUGGAAAUUAUUCUCUGUCCUCUGCUAUGUGUCUCAAUGUUCUUGGCCACAUUUAUAUAUUAUACCUGUCACUAUUCAUUGGCUGUAACCUAUACGUUCUCAAUGAUUUGCAUCAUGUAGUACUCCCUCUAUGAAUUUAUCUCCAUCUGAUAUUACUCUUCUCUCAUUUUAAGCUGUGUUACUAACUGAAAAUACAUCUUUGGCAUUUGCUUUCAUGCUAUCAUAGUUCUAUACAGACAUAUCCACUUGCAUAUUUGGAACAUACCAAACAUAGUUCACCUGGUCACUUAUACAUAUCCACUCUCAUUUAGAAAAUCUAAGUAAUAGUGACAAACUAGACAAGAGAUCUUUUAUUUUAUAUCAAAUAAUAAGUCCUUGUGGGUAUUCCAGUAACAUUUUGUGCUUAUUAGUUCAAAGACAUCAGUAUCAAGUUGGGGAAGAAUGGGCCUAUAAAACUAAAAAGACAUAACUUUUUUUAGGUCUUAUUUGGAAAUGUUGACCACCAUUGUCACUUUAUUUUACUGAGUCUGAAGAUGGCUAAUAGAAUGUGAAAAAUAAUUUCUGAAGAAUACAAUAUUGAUUACAUUUUCUUGGUUAUAAAAUGUAUCACUGUCAAGAAUAGGAAAAUGUACUUCUCAUAAAACCUUUAUAAAAAAUUAUUCAGAUAUCUGACCAUAGAACAAAAUAAAUAAAUCUUACCUUUCCCUAUCUUUCUCUGACUCAUCAUACUUUUACACACAUUCACUCUUACAUACACAUCAGCACAUAAAAAGAGAGGACAAAUAAAAACAACAUCAUCACACAAAAUGAAGUCCAUGAGAGAGAGGGAUAGGUAAACACUGUCAGAUUAUGAACAAAUCCUUUUUAUAAACAUUCUCCCAGAAUGGAACUCAUUCAUAAGCUGGAGGUUUACUGUACUAUCAAAAUAACAUGGCAGAUUUUGUAUAUUAGAAUACAAUUAUAGACAUGAAAAUUAAUUUCCUAGUAAUAUAAAUGCAACUAUGGAUAAAUUUAAAGAUAAAUAUAAAUAAGACAAAAUAUAAAUAUGAUGUGUACUUUAAUUUCUAGUCAAACAAAAUUAAUAUUAUUUAAUAUUAUUAUAUAAUGAUGUUCAUUUUCAGCUUUAUGAAUGUUUAUGCUGAAACUCUAACAAAACUAAAAGGAAUAAUCAAUAUAAUACUCAAAAUAGUAGUUAGGUCUGAAAAAAUGAAGAAGAUAAAAAAAUUGGUCCUUAGUGUUUUUGCUUUAUAACUACAGGAAAUAUUUCAUGAUCUUAUUUAUUACAGCAGAGAAGAAAAAGAUCUUUCUUUUGGAGUGAUGAUGUCACAAGUAUCAAUUAGGGGAUUGUCUUGAGUACUUCCCCCCCACAAAGAUGUUUUAUACAUAAAGACAAAAGUGUGUUACAAUUGACUAAGAUUUUAUUGUGAACAAAGACAUGGGAAAAAAAUUAAUAUAAUUUGAGGCAAUGAUUCGAGACAAAUAAACAGUCUCCAAAUAACUUAUUAAACAAACGUGUAUAUUCUAUUUGUCAAAUGAGAAAUAUUACUUAUAAGUGUUAUUGCCACAUUUUUGUGGAAUCAACUAAUUUGUUAAUUCUAGUAGCUAUUCAACAGUACCUGAAAUAUUGUAGCUCCUUAUACUAUAGGCUAAAAUUUCAAAUAUUUAUCAAUCAAGUUUCUUUAUGGAACAGAAUCAAUGGGAUUAUUAGAUGGAUUUAUAGGAUCAGAUGCUGGAAAAUCUGAGUGUCUAUCUGCAUGUGGCAGAGCCAGUGAAUCAAGUAGGUGUUCGGUUCAAGAAGUGCGAAACUGAGGAACAAGAGGGAUUAAAGAUAUAGCACCAGUUCAAGACUGAAGGCCUAUAUGUCUGCUUGGAAGACUAGAGUGUGAUGACAACAGAAUAUGACAGCAAGAUACACCUGCUCAUGUUGAAUGGUACCCUUCAAAGGAACUGUAACUUCCUCCUUUCCCUUCUAUUCCUUAAGACUACAAGCCUAUUGCAUGAUGGCACCCACAAGCAGGGUGAAUCUUUCACCAUGACUUUGCUGACCUACAUGACAAUCAUCUCUGGGAGUAGUCCAUAGACACACACAGAAAUAUGCUUUACUAAUCUGUUAGGCAUUUUUUAAUGCAGUCAAGUUGACACAUCAUGAUUAAUAGUCAUAAUUAUUAACUGCUCUAUCAUUUUUUCAAAAUUUCUAAAGACAGCCUUUCUUGUUUUCAAAGUUUUCAGUUGUUUCCUUUUAAGGAAAGUGAUUUUAGGUAAAUAUGAGAUAUGAUUUUUCAAUGUCUCAGUAAAUAUAACUGAAGCAUCUGUUGCAAAUUUAUUGAGCCCUUGCUAAGCAUCUCAAAAUGACAGGCUUCUAUGUCCAAUUUUUACCCCUUUUAAUUUAAACUCAUCUUAGUAUAUUGCAAAGUGUUUAUCUUUGAAGAAUAAUGUAUAUUAAUUACAUUUGAUAGAAUGUCAUCCUAUACUUAGACUAUAUUGAAUAAAAGAAAAUAAUAUUGUAUGUGAUAAUUUCACUAAAUUCAUCCAUAAUUUGAAAAGUGGCUUAUGAAGAAUAUUGAUUGGUAAGAAACUAGAAUACAAUUAUUAAUAAUAAUGAUAACAAGGAUAAUUGUUUUGUGCAUUUACUGUAUUUUUGUCUCUUGCAAUGCCUUCCACUGCUAAUUUUAUCCUCAAAAGAAAUUAAAGUUUGAACCUAUUACUUUUCCCUUUAAUAUAUGAGAAAUGCAAAUAUUCUCUCAUAUAAAUACUCUAAUUUUUUGUGCAAAAGUGUGGCUCCCAAACAUGAAUGUUUAGUAUCAGUUCUUUCUAUUAUACAAUUGUGCUUUAUUGUCAUGCAACUCCUAAAUAUUUUAAAUCUCCUGAACACUCACCUUUAUUCUUUGAAAACACAAUGAACAAAGUGUGUUUCCAAAUAGGUUCAUCUUAGGAAUAGGUGAAAUGUUUAUAGAAUUUUAGUUCCAUGACUUCGGUGGCAGCUAUUUUUCUUGCUGAGACAAAAUACCUGACACUCAAAGUUGCAGGAGGAAAGCUUUAUUUGGCUUACAAUUCUUAGAGGUUGCAGUUCAUAGCUGGCUCCAAAACAGGGUGGCAUGGCAGACAGGCCUUGCAGAGGAGAAAUAAUUCAUGGUGGGCAGAAGAUAGUAGAGCAAAAGCAGCUUCUUUCUGCUCCUUUUAAACUUGAUCUAGCUUAUCAGGAUUAGGGUGGUGCCCAAAGAAUCACUGGACUGACUGAGUGAUCACACACUCAAUCCCAGCAUCACACACUCUAGCUCCAGCCACCUAUGAAAAAGCCCUAUUCAUGACUGAGUGAGGCUUUGGGGGUAUAUCUAGACACAAGCCAUGACAUUCCAUCCCUGGCCCUCCAAAGACUCAUGAAUAUCCCUUUGUGCAAAAGACAUUUAGUCCACCUAAGAGUUACCAAAAUCUUAAUGGUUUCAGCAUUGCUUAAAAUUCCAAGUGCAAAGUCUCCUCUGAGAUUUGAGGCAAACUCUUAGUUGCAAGCCGCUGUACAAAUAAACAAAGUUAAACACAUCCAAUAUUCAAUGGCACAUGAUAGACAUUUACAUUCUAAAAGGUACAAAGAGGGGGAUAGAAAAGAAUGGAAAUCAGGCAAGUCCAAAAUCCAGUAAGCUAAACAUUAAGUCCUAUAGUUCCAUGUCCAGCAUCCCAGGCAAUCUAUGACAAGAUAUGAACUCCAAAGGGCUGGUGAUGCUCUACCCCUAUGGUACUGCCAGUGUUGGUUGUAGUUUCCAUGGAUUCUCUCUUGUACCAGUUCUGCUCCCUUCUUGCAGUUUUCCUCGGACAAUCUACUUCCCUGGCUUCUCUGACUUCUGAAGUCUCCACUGCACCUUUGGCUUCUCACUCAGCUUCACACACUGUUCUCUCAGGAGCACACUGCAUGGCUUCCCUGGCUUUCUUCUCAAAUAUGAGGGGAAGCCUUCCUGAACCCACAACUCUUGCAUUCUGUAUGUGCAUAAAACCAGCACCACAUGGAUGAUGCCAAGGUCUGCCACCAGCUGUAGCAGUAGGCAGGCUUCCCCUCUUGGCUAUAAGGGUCCAUUGCCUAUUACCCAAAUUCCAAGGAACAACUUCCCUAGGUUCCUGCCAUUCUAGAACAUGGUGCUCAAGGGGUCACUUUUCAAAGCAAAGCCUUUCACCUUUGCAACUCUGAGACCGCAGAGCCUGGAGUCCUACUGGUUCUCAUGAUGUCCUUAAGCCAUCUUUUCAGUAGUCUUCUUCUAAAAUUCUUGCCUUUUUCUUGCUAGUCUUUUCAGUGACCAAUUUCACCUCUGUUCAGUCUUUACAGGCCACAACUUUACUGGAGCUUCCUUUCUGUCAAAACUCACAAUAUUUUAAAUCAUUCUGCUGGUCUCUUUUCUCUUUAUUCUCAACAUUAAUCUGGCUAAAAGCCCCCAGCAGUAGCCAUGCUACUGCCUCAACAUUAGACUGUCUAGAAAUUUCUUCUUCAAAAUUCAUUAGUCUGCUUCCUUUAAUCUCAGUCUCAUACCAUUUCUGGACGUGAGCAAAUUGCAGACAAACUUUCUCCCAAGGGAUAGCACACAUUUUCUGAAGUCCAACAGCCAAUACAGUCCUUCUUUUCAGCAGAAAUCUCCAGAGACUUGUCUUUACCAGCUGAGUUUCUAUCAAUAACUCUAGUAUUCUGAGCUCUGACCAGAUCUCCCAUAAAGUACAGCCUAAGGCUUUCCAGCUCUAAUUUUUCAGCUGGAAUCUCUGAGCCUUUACUAACUCUUCUCUUGUCCAUAAGCCAGCUUCAAGGUUUCUAAACUAUAUGGUCAGGUGCAGUCACAGCAACAACCCCACUUCUCUGAUACCAGAUACUGUCUGAGUUACUUUUCUUAUUGGUGAGACAAAAUACCCAACACCUAAAGUUAAAAGAGGAAAGUUUUAUUUAGUUUACAGUCUAUAGCACAAAUGUGCUAGGCUUAAAACUGGCCCUGAAAGACAUUAUAGGUCUUGAUACUUGGAGUUGGGAUGCUACCUUAAAGAAAAAAUAGACUUUGUUGUGAUUGAACCCAGGAGAAAUGGUUCUGGUUUAUGUAGGAUUAGUUCUAAACAUAAUCACAAGUUUUCUUAGAGGCUGGGGGAGGUGUGUGUGCUGAGAUGGAAGUGAGUGUGAAGCCUGAAGAAAAGUUUCAUUCUGCCAGAUUUGUAGGUAAAUGUGGUCAUGAAUGCAAGGCUGAAAGCUGGAACACUCAAGAAAACAGAUUUUCUUUAGAGCCUUUAGAAAAGCUUUAAUUUUAGUCUAAUGAAAAUUAUCUCAACAAAUGACCUACAAAGAGUAACACAGUUUUGGGGGAUUUUUUUGUUUUGUUUUGUUUUUAGUAACACAAUUUUUUAACUCACAAUAAUUGUGUUUUUUUUAAAUAGCGCUAAAACAUAUUAACACACAACUUUUAAAAAUAUUAAUCAUAUCUCAUUAUUUAUGUUGCUGUAAUUUGUCGAAUUUUUAUAUAUCAUUAUAAUUACUAAACAUGUGUUUUUGUGAAUAUAAUGUUAAAUUAUUUUUAAUAUUGGCUUAUUUUUCUAUAUUAAUCCUGAAUUAUUUCACUUCAUCCUCUUGAAUGUUUUAUAGAGGUUAUCAAUCUAUAAUUAUCCCCAGUUCUAAUCAGUGUAUUGCUGCCUUCUUAAUUUUUUUAAAAAUAUAAUUUGCUGAAAAGUAUCAUUAAACGAGUGUAAGAAAAAACAUUCAUAAAAUGUAUUUCCAUUACUUUUGUUAGCUUUUAUUCUUGAAAUAUUUAACUUGCCUAAGGUUGAGUAACUUUCAAAUUAAAAACUUUUACCAUAUAUAUAUAUAUUUUUUUUUGGUACUGGGGAUCGAACUAAGGUCCUUGUACUUGUGAGGCAGGCAGUGGAACCACUGACUAAAUCCCUGGCCUUUCCGUAUUUCUUGAACUGAGAUCACUUUUUAAAAAGUUAUAUUUUUGCCUUUGAUUUUGCUCAUUUUUUAUUCAGUUUUGUCCAUAAGUAACAACAGUUUUCUAUAACUUUGUUCUUCCUCUAAUUACACUAUUUUCUUUUCUGUUCUUGGUCUUAUGGAUCCUUAUGCUCAACGAUUACUCUCUGUUUGAUGUGAC